rnacentral:misc_RNA from 1 species
GAUGAAGAACGUAGCGAAAUGCGAUAAGUAAUGUGAAUUGCAGAAUUCAGUGAAUCAUCGAAUCUUUGAACGCACAUUGCGCCCUCUGGUAUUCCGGGGGGCAUGCCUGUUCGAGCGUCAUUAUAACCACUCAAGCUCUCGCUUGGUAUUGGGGUUCGCGGUUUCGCGGCCCCUAAAAUCAGUGGCGGUGCCUGUCGGCUCUACGCGUAGUAAUACUUCUCGCGAUUGAGUUCGAUAGGUCUACUUGCCAGUAACCCCCAAUUUUUACAGGUUGACCUCGGAUCAGGUAUGGAUACCCGCUGAACUUAAGCAUAUCAAUAAGCGGAGGA